rnacentral:rRNA from 1 species
GAUGAACGCUGGCGGCGUGCCUAAUACAUGCAAGUCGAGCGAAUGGAUUAAGAGCUUGCUCUUAUGAAGUUAGCGGCGGACGGGUGAGUAACACGUGGGUAACCUGCCCAUAAGACUGGGAUAACUCCGGGAAACCGGGGCUAAUACCGGAUAACAUUUUGAACCGCAUGGUUCGAAAUUGAAAGGCGGCUUCGGCUGUCACUUAUGGAUGGACCCGCGUCGCAUUAGCUAGUUGGUGAGGUAACGGCUCACCAAGGCAACGAUGCGUAGCCGGCCUGAGAGGGUGAUCGGCCACAAUGGGACGGAGACACGGCCCAGACUCCUGCGGGAGGCGGCAGUAGGGAAUCUUCCGCAAUGGACGAAAGUCUGACGGAGCAACGCCGCGUGAGUGAUGAAGGCUUUCGGGUCGUAAAACUCUGUUGUUAGGGAAGAACAAGUGCUAGUUGAAUAAGCUGGCACCUUGACGGUACCUAACCAGAAAGCCACGGCUAACUACGUGCCAGCCGCCGCCGUAA